AGACAGCAGUAGCCACGGGAAUACGUAGGGUGCAAGCGUUAAUCGGAAUUACUGGGCGUAAAGCGUGCGCAGGCGGUUAUAUAAGACAGAUGUGAAAUCCCCGGGCUCAACCUGGGAACUGCAUUUGUGACUGUAUAGCUAGAGUACGGCAGAGGGGGAUGGAAUUCCGCGUGUAGCAGUGAAAUGCGUAGAUAUGCGGAGGAACACCGAUGGCGAAGGCAAUCCCCUGGGCCUGUACUGACGCUCAUGCACGAAAGCGUGGGGAGCAAACAGGAUUAGAUACCCGCGUAGUCCCUGUCUCUUAUAC
rnacentral:rRNA from 1 species